CUUACAGAUGGUUGAUUACUUCACGAAAAAAAAUCAAUCAUUUGAAUGAUUUUCAAAUGUGUAACUAGUGCCACUUAGUGACGAAAUUUCGAAACAAGUGGACCAUUAACUGUAAGCUCUUGGCUAACUAAAUAACAUUGCCGAAGACACCAUCUUUCUAAGUGGUGAGAGUCCUGAGAUAUAUGAAAUUUAAAAUUUGCUUGAUCUCUGGCGCAGCUUAUUGGUGGAAUUUCCAAUUAAACGAUCCAUCACCAUCCAUCAUGGAAUCGUAAAUAAAAUUUUUAGAGAGCAGAUUUUUGAAUCAGUUAAAUCAGAUGUUUGACAUAACAAUAAUGGGGAAAAGGAUCAACAAUUAAAAAGAAAGUUUCUAAAACACAAUACAUGUAUGUGUCUAAAAACAGUUUUGUCUUCGUAAAUACGCUCUGGGCCCAUUGUGCAGUGUGGUGGCUGUAUCACUUCCAUCACUAAGCCACUUUGUGUUGUUAAUGAUGGCUUUCAGCCUCUCGUCUAUCCAUGUGCAGUUGUAGCCGUGCUGGUUAGAACGCAGGGUACUAUGUAUCAUCAUGAUACUGUCUCGGUUCGAUUCCCGCCGCCGCCCGUAAUUCUUUUUAAACGUGUUUUGGUAAUUAAUGGUGCCGCUGCUGCCAUGACCAGUCUAAAAAUAUAGAACAAAUAAAGAGAAACCAAUGCGACAGAGCACACGCACACAUGCGAAAUUUUCCUUUUCCAGAUUCUAGGAAGCCAAUAUAAUUUUUGGUAUACUGCCACCUACCAAUUUUUGUAUUUGCAAAGCCUUAAUACAAUAUUUGUAUAUGUUUCAAACCGCAUUGUAUUAGAAUCUGCCAAUCUCCGGUUGCGUGAAGGUACUACAGUGGUACAAAUUCGUUUAAACGCACAUACUUCUCAAAACAUACUCUUUAUGUUGCUGCGAAUUAAAAUUUAUGAUAAUAACGCUCUAAGAAUUACUAGUAAUAGUACUUGUUGAAAUGUACACCGUGUCCAAUAAGUUCUCAUACAAAAUACAAAUUUAGAAAAUAUCAUUUUAUUCACAUAUGUGAUUCAUAUUUACAAAGUGAAUACAUGUAUUGAAAGGCCACAUAAUACUGAUUGAAUAUAGCAUACGGUUUAGAAAAACUUUAUUUUCUAUUUGUUUUUAUAAGCCUAGCAGUACUCUUUCGUUUUCUGUAAUCCGUUUUCUCCGGCACGCAUGAAAAAUGUUCGAAAAGUUUUUCAUUCUACGGUAGCGAAAUAGAGUCCAUAUGGAUAAAUUUUGAGUUUGUGUCUCAAGUUAUGUACCAAAUGGAUAUACUAAGGCUUAAACAAUACAGUUUUAGUGAUGAUAUGGUAAGAAAUUUGCAAGUAAGCUCAACUUGGGCUGAUUUUCAUGAAAAUAACUGUUAUGUCAAAGAUAAACAUCAUAAAACCUAAAUUUUGGACAAAAUUUACCACAAUAGGAAUGCAAGCAUGUUUUAAAAGUGAGAAUGAUGUGAAUCAACCAGAUAAGAUGCACGGGUGCUUCUUUAACAAAACAAAUCUCAUUAAAACAGGUAAAUGGACAUUUUUGUUUGAUUAACGAUUUAUUUUGUACAAAAUAAAUGGGCUUCGUACUUUACCAAUACAGGAUCUUAUAUUUUUUUUCUCUUCUGGUCAUAGUUGCUACUAGCAAUGGGGAGAACGGGAACCUAAUUUAUUUCAAUUUAAAACCAUUACUCGUAAAAUACGACGAAAUACAAAUGAAAUGGCGUGCGUGCCAGUUGAAAUGGACUUACGACACAUAAGCGAUCAGCAGAGAAGGAUAAAGGACAGUUUGUUCCAAAACAUAUGCUGUAUUUGAUUGGUGUUAUUUGGCCUUUCAAUAAAUAAAUCUACUUUGAAAAUCCUAAUUACAGAUGUGAAAUGAAUUGAAUUUGAUUUUGUAUGAGAACUUAUUGGACACGGUGUAUAUUGAUAUCAAAAAUAGUGAAAUAUUUUGCCAUUAACAAAUAUGAAAAAACGAAAAAAGUGCGUUAAAACGAAUUUUCCUCCAACAAUUGGAUAUUUAUUCUCUGAUUAAAAUAAAACGAAUUGCAAAGAAUUCUUCGUUACUCGUGCAGGUAGUAUAUUACAGGAGUGUCUAUCAAAAUAUAUCCCAAUAAAACACAGAUUUCCUUAAACUACAAUUUACAAUUCAAAAGUCAAGUGAGUUUAAACGAAUUUGCACCACUUGUAUAUGCCCAAAGGAGUAAGAGUAAUUUCUCGAAGCUCCAUCGGGAAGUCCGACAAGAGUUUUACCGGGAAUUCUUGUGGGAAUUCUUCUCGAAGUUUCACCGAAAACCCAUGUAGUACUCCAUUGAACGUGCCCUAUUGAAUACCAAAAAUAAUUAUGGCUGAAUUUUCCGUUUUCUGUCCUUUUCCGAGUUGAAUUGAGUUGCUGUAUGUUAUAAAUUCUAUGUAUUUUGUAUGUUUGUAUUAUAAUGUUUAUUCAUGUAUGCAUUGUAAAUCGUAAUUAGUAGUAAUUGUUAUACCUUGGUGAUUAUUUACGUUAAUUUACGUAAUUUAGUAUCGGUCUGUACAGUAUCUACUGAAAACGGAGUUAAAUAAAUAAAUUAAUUAAUUAAUUAAUUAAUUCAUUCAUUAAAAAUCACUUUAGAAAUCGUUCUAAAAGUUCCAAAGAGAAUUUCUUCAAGAAUUCCUCGAAAUACUUCUCUAUGUGUUCCGCCGCAAAUUUCCUCUAAAAGAUUUAAUUACCUUUGGAAAAUCCUCUAGGAGCUCCACUAAGAAAUUUCUGCAGGAAUUCCAUUGAGAAUUUCUCUGUAAUUUUCACCAAAUAGUGCUCUAAAUUUCCGCGGAAAAUUAAGCGGAAAGUCUUCUAGGAGUUCUUUUGGAAAUUUAUCUAGGCAGCAUCAAUUUAUUACGUAAUACAAAAAUGCAGCUAUGUAUAUUAUCGCGCAAUUAAAAAUUAGCAAUUAAUUUGAUCAAAAUCGCCUAAUACUUUAUAUGGGCGAAGCAAUAAAAAUUCAGGUUUAUGUUGAAUUACUGUGAAUUCUAUGAAUAUUUUUCAGUAGUUUUUCGUGCAGAUGAUAAAAAGAAGGAACAUCUCUCUGCUACCAAAGACUUGGGAAAUUUUCAUCAAAGUUUUUCUGAGAUAUGGGCUAUUGCUAGUUUUUGCCGUUUCAGUGCGCGUUAAUAUUUUAGUCAAUACAAAAAUAGUAAUUUUCGUACCCUCCCCGCCCCCUCCAUGACGCAUUUUUUUGUGUAAAAAUUUGUUUAGAAGUUUAACCGGAAAAUUUUCUGAGAGCUCCAUCAGAUAGUCUUCCAAAAGUUUUGCUGUGAAUACCUGUAGGAACUUCGCAACACAGAUACUUCGUGAAUUAUUCUAGCUCCUCCUGAAAUUCCUCUUGAAUUUACAAUAGUUACACCGGAUAUUCCUCUAGAAUAGUAGGUACACCCAGAGAAGUUUCACCGGGCAAUCCUCUAGGGGUGCCACUAAAUGCCAAAUGUUUCUGGUUCAUAGUUUCAAUGGAUGCUCUACAUGGAAUUCUUCAAAGAUUUUUAUUCGAUUCGAUUUUUUUUUCGACUAAAAACAGUUCCACCAGGAAUUCCUCAAGGACUUUCACAGGAAUUGUCCUAAGAGUCCCAAGUAGCACCUGUAACUUAGGAAAUAUUUUAGAAAAAUAAUAAAGAUUGCAUAGCCGUUUCACUUCAGACUAAUGGUAACAAUUCAAUUUUUGCAGUAUACAUUCUGGUUGCUCAGACAUCACAAUGCAACCUUAAUUUUGCAAAAGCUACAUCAAUGUCACAUGGUGGCUUUCGUGAAACAUGCUCUUGAACUGUCAAAUUCAAAAAGUUGCAUUCUUGACAUCAUCCUGUUACACUGAAACCAAAAACCAAAACAAAUGACCAGACCAGUUGCUGCGAAGUCAAUGUUUGGUUGCUAUGUACCAUAUUACCGAAAGUCGUUUCCAAAUAACGACAGUAUAACUUUUUGUUGUUUCAUUGCAAACACAGGAAAAGUUUUCGGCUGUGCCACUGGGCGUUGCAUGCUAGUCCGUUGUCUAGUACUCUAGUGUCAUGCUUCCUUCAAAGAGCGAAAAGCUCACUGGAAGCAUUAAACGUGUCCGUGUCUUUAAAAAACAUAUGAGACGCACAAAAACGUACGAUUACUUGGUCACAAAUGUGCAACUUAGCAGUUACUAACAGGCUGAGAUCAACACUGCAUGUCAAAAGUAUCAACUAAUUAGAUAUGUUUGUAUGUUAAUAUUAUCGAACAACAAUUCGAUAUUUUGUCCUUAUUAUGUUAAAGAUGCAUUUAAAAAUACUUGCUUUAAAUCCUGUAGUUUAGAGUCCUGUAUAAACAAUGUAUGAAGUGGAUAUUGAUAUUUUCAGACAUCCAACCGACAAUGUAGGUUCUGCCCAGUUACCACAAUGGCGAGUACUUGUUUCAGUUACAAAAAGUGACAUAAAAUUACUUCAGUUAUGAUUUGGGAGUCUUAAUCAAACAUAAUAGAAAAGAAAACAAACUACAUUUUACGAAAAAAGGCCUGACAAGCCUAAUAUCCAUCUUCCCAUUCAAAUACCGUUUAACAAAACAGUGAGACAUGCAAAUAUAUAUGCUGAAAUUAACGAAUUUCGCAAGCGCGUGGGUUUUCUGUUAGUAAAAUUGGCAAUUUCUCCGGAAAAAUGCAAUUGCAAUGUUUAAUUUUAACGUUCAAUCCUCAUUUGAACCUUAACUGACAAAAGCUAAUCGUUGAAAUUCAGAAUAAAGUUAUAAAUGUUGUAAAAUUUUAUGUUUUUAAAAACGUAUAAAAUCGUGAGUUGCGUUUUUGGGGUGGGGCAUAAUGAGCACCCUAGGUGGGGCAGGAUGAUCAAUAUCAGUUUUGUACACAAUCAAAUGUUAAUUGACUAUUCUUGUCAAUGAUAAAGCAUACCGGCAACAAUCAAUAAGAAUUUGAAGGGAUUACGGGGUUUAAUUUGUAGGGAACUGUGGGGUUCCAAGGAGUCUUCUAUUGAGGAAUUUUUAAACGAUGAUAAUAUACAAAUACUGAAAUUUUCAAGCUAAUAAAUUGAAAAUUACAGACAAAACCUUGCUAUAUGCAUCAAAACAGAGAAAACCAAAAUUAAAAUUGGUUUGCUGACGAUGUUUAUUAUUUUCAUUAUUUUUUCACUAGUUGCUCAUUCUGCCCCACCCUACUACCAACUCUUUGAAGCAUAUUUUUAAAACAAAAAAAUUAUACUAAUAGUUGAAAAGUGUUACAAAUACAUGUCAUUGGCCUAGGGAAUAUCAAGAAAAUCGAUAGAUGCCCACUAAAUUGUGAUUUCAAUACCCAAAACCUUAUUUUCGGUCACCUGAUUCUUAUAAUAUUUUCCCAGUACAUGACUACUUUACGCAUUUUGAUUAAUUUUUCAUGGUAAACGGAUUUUUUGACUAAUGUUUUGUCAUCAACUCAUUGGAUUUUAGAUAAUAAGGCUACAAUCAAGCAAUUUGUUUUGUUAAUUUGAAGAUUUACAGUGAAAAUACAAGCUGCUCAUUAUGCCCCACCUGCUCAUUAUGCCCCGCCUAUCCCUACAAUCUAAUCUCUUAUGCAACAAACAACAUGUUGCACAGAGGCUCCACCUCCUGCGCUUUUUCAGUUGCAUAGCUGUGGGAAUCGAUGUUGCAGUGAUUUAGAAUCGACUUUUGCAUUUGUCGCAUAGAUAUGACCGUGAUUUAGUUUUAACAAAGUGUGCUGCUUGGGGUUCCACCCCAAGGGUGGAACUUCUAGGGUUUCUACCAAGAAUCUUUCUAGCAGAAAGUUCUUCGGUAGAUCUCUAGAAUAUCGUUCAGUAGUCUCUCAGGAAUUCUCUUCGGGUGGUCGUUCGAAAAUUUUGUCAAGAGUUCCUUUGAAUUUUAUGCCAUAAAUUUUCCAUAAGUUCCGAGAUCGACCUGACAAUUCCUUCAGUAGAUUCUCCGGGAAAAUCUUAGAGAAAUUCUCCGCGGAACUUUUAGAUGAUUUAUCGAUGAAUCCCUUAAGGGAUACCCGGUUUGACUCCUACAAAAAAUCUCGGUGCAUUUUCUGGAAAAAUCCUGGUGUAGCUUUUGGUGUAAUUCUCAGCAUAACUUCUAUUUCUAAAGCACGGAAACACAUAACAUAAGUGGAACUCCAUGGUCAGAGCGAAGGAAAAAGUUGUAUCCUUUUCCAGUACGUGAAACUGUUACAGUUCCGAUUCGUUUGUUGGUGGCUCGAUGGAUGAGCUGUCUCGAUGGUUGAAUGUUCACUGGUUGGGGCAAAACCCAACUAAAAAGCACUAUCAAUGUCAAAAUAGAAGUCAAAUCGUGUUUGACGUCUGACCGCCGUUGCAUCGGAGCUCCUGUAUACAGAACGUUUGUGAAAGUAUGCGAGUGGUUCUUGACGUAUUUCUCGUCACUCGCGUGUGUCUAGAGCAUUUUGAUCAGAUGUCUGUUGCCCCAACGAACGAAUACGAUUCGCUAAUCGGGGCGCAGUCGUGACCCAACCAGCGAAUCCGGACUGUAUAUCUUUCAUAAAAGGCAUCGAACUGUCAUUUAUUUUGGUAAACAAAAAACAUCUGAUCCAACCAGUAUUCCAGUUUUGGCAAAGAACACAGGAAUGAAGAAUGGCAUCUGAAAUAUGCGCAAAUCUAACGGCUGUCAAUCCACUUAUUCAUUUUGUCAUAAAUUCAUUGAAAUCUUCGAAAUAACACAUCCACGGUUCACAUAUCGACCUUCUUUUUAUAUUUAAAGCCAUAAAACGUAUUUUUGACUUGAGUUUACAAAGUUUAAUUGCAAUUUAUGCCCUAUUCUAGAUUUCCUCGUGCUGCCAGUCUAGAUCUAUGAGGUCUUUGUAUUACUUCACAGCAAUCAAAAAUGGUAUACAUACUGAAAAAUAGUAUGGCAAUAAUGAUGUAAUGCAUUUGACAUUUCGAUGCCCUGUAUACCAGCGUACGAACUUGGAAAGGCAUCAACUUUUUGAGCCAGAGUUCCACUUAUGUUAUGUGUCUAUUGUCUUUACUUACAAUUGCAUGUCUGCGAACAAACUUUGGUUUACGUUGCGCGUAAGAUUUUCCAUAAGGGACUGCACUGUCCGUAAACUACGACAACUACGUAGACUAAUACAUAUUUGGUCAUAUCAGGCCUUACUCCCCAUCUGUAGACUUUUGUCCAUACACAAUUUUCGAAAUUGUUAAGGACUUAGACUUUAGGCAGAAGACAAGUUUAGAAAUUUAUUGAACUAGGAAGCAAAUACAACCCAACAUUUCUCCAAUCCGGAAUUCAACCACUUCACGAAAUUUUAAUUUUUUUUUCUCAGCAAGUAAAGGAAAUCCUUUUGUGGACGCUCAAGUAGCAGAACAUAUAUAACUGGACGACUCAUCCGGAAAAUACAAUCAAGGAUUUUUCUGGGGUAACAAUUACUGGACAGGAUCGAUAACGCAAUGUUCUUUCAUCUACCGAAAAAGUACAACUAGCAAAAACAUAACAAAGGUCAACAAAAACACCGAUUUAACUUACAUCAAUGGAAACUUCCUUGGAGCAUCAGAAAUGAUGCAUGAAAAUCCGCCUUUCAUACCUGGAUUUUAUAUGCUCAAAGUAUUGCUGAACAAUACACAUACAUUAGGACCGCCUAGAACUGUGCUAAUGGGGUUAUGUCUACCCGGAUCCUGUCAAUUAAAUGACGUCGUCGAGAUGACAAAAAAA